rnacentral:rRNA from 1 species
GGAGGAAAGCAGGGGAUCGCAAGACCUUGCGCUUUUGGAGUGGCCGAUGCCUGAUUAGCUAGUUGGUAGGGUAAUGGCUUACCAAGGCGACGAUCAGUAGUUGGUCUGAGAGGACGACCAGCCACACUGGGACUGAGACACGGCCCAGACUCCUACGGGAGGCAGCAGUGGGGAAUUUUGGACAAUGGGCGAAAGCCUGAUCCAGCAAUGCCGCGUGAGUGAAGAAGGCCUUCGGGUUGUAAAGCUCUUUCAGUCGAGAAGAAAAGGUUGUGACUAAUAAUCACAACUCAUGACGGUAUCGACAGAAGAAGCACCGGCUAACUACGUGCCAGCAGCCGCGGUAAUACGUAGGGUGCGAGCGUUAAUCGGAAUUACUGGGCGUAAAGGGUGCGCAGGCGGCUCCGUAAGUCAGAUGUGAAAUCCCCGGGCUUAACCUGGGAAUUGCGUUUGAAACUACAAAGCUAGA